GAUGAAGAACGUAGCGAAAUGCGAUACGUAAUGUGAAUUGCAGAAUUCAGUGAAUCAUGGAGUCUUUGAACGCACAUUGCGCCCGUCAGUAUUCUGGCGGGCAUGCCUGUUCGAGCGUCAUUACGCCCCUCAAGUCCCCUGUGGACUUGGUGUUGGGGAUCGGCGAGGCUGGUUUUCCAGCACAGCCGUCCCUUAAAUUAAUUGGCGGUCUCGCCGUGGCCCUCCUCUGCGCAGUAGUAAAACACUCGCAACAGGAGCCCGGCGCGGUCCACUGCCGUAAAACCCCCCAACUUUUUAUAGUUGACCUCGAAUCAGGUAGGACCACCCGCUGAACUUAAGCAUAUCAAUAAGCGGAGGA
rnacentral:misc_RNA from 1 species